UACAGAGGGUGCAAGCGUUAAUCGGAAUUACUGGGCGUAAAGCGCACGUAGGUGGGUUUUUAAGUCUUAUGUGAAAUCUCUGGGCUCAACCUGGAAACUGCAUAAGAUACUGGAUACCUAGAGUAUGGUAGAGGGAAGUGGAAUUUCCGAAGUAGCGGUGAAAUGCGUAGAUAUCGGAAGGAACACCAGUGGCGAAGGCGACUUCCUGGACCAAUACUGACACUGAGGUGCGAAAGCGUGGGGAGCAAAC
rnacentral:rRNA from 1 species